rnacentral:misc_RNA from 1 species
GAGGAUUAAUAGUAUAUCGCAUACGGGGCGGUCUUGGAUUUGUAUGCGGUUGCUUUAAAAGUAGUAGUAGUAGGAGGCCUACAUAUAAUUAGCUAAAUAUGCCGUUUACAGAAACAGUACAAUCCUGGGGAAAGAUAGCUAUAGAUUCAGCAUUAGAAUACGAUACACCAAAAGUAGUGCAUAUCAAGAGCAAGAAAGUCGGCUUUAUCAAUCGCUUGAUUCAGAUUGGUGUUAUUGUUUAUGUUGUCGUAUGGGCUAUCAUACUCCAAAAAGGAUACCAGGAAACAGAUGAAGUUAUUAGUGCUGUUACAACCAAGCUCAAGGGAGUUGCCUACACAAACAUAACAAACCACCCCAACCUAAAUAUUGAAGAUGUCACCCCAUACAAUAGAAUCUGGGAUCCAGUGGAUUAUGUCAUACCCCCAAUGAUGGACAAUGCAUUCUUUGUGAUGACAAAUAUGGUAAUAACACCUGAGCAAUCAAGAGGAAGAUGUGCUGAGGAUCCAUUAAUGUAUGGUGUCAGAUGUGAAGAUAAUCCUGAUCUUAAUUGUGUCAAAGGUGACCCUGUCCCUAAUGGAAAUGGUGUUAAAACUGGUGAUUGUGUUACUUACAUUUUCCCUAAUGGAUCAAAAACAAAAACUUGUGAAAUUGAAGCUUGGUGCCCAGUGGAAUAUGAUGAGACUCCACUUCAGAAUGAAGCUGUGUUAGCGGCAGCUCGUAACUUCACAGUCCUCAUAAAGAACAGUGUUAGCUAUCGGAAGUUCAAUUUUGAAAAACGAAAUAUCGCUGAGAGCGCCAAUAAAUCAUACCUUACGACCUGUCGCUACAGCACCCACGCAAAUCCAUUUUGCCCAGUGUUUCGCUUGGAAGAUAUAGUAGCAGAGACUGGUGAAGAUUUUGAAAGGAUAGCAUAUCAGGGAGGUGUGGUAGGAAUUUUUAUAAACUGGGAUUGCAACUUAGAUAAAAACUGGGAUGACUGUCGACCACAAUAUUCUUUUAGAAGACUUGAUAAUAAAGAAGCCAAAAUAGCCAAAGGAUAUAACUUUAGGUUUGGACAUUUUUAUGUAAUAAAUGACACAGAUUAUCGAACUCUAACAAAGGCAUAUGGUAUCUUGUUUGAGGUAAUUGUGACAGGGACAGCAGGAAAGUUCAACUUCAUUCCAUUGACAACCAACCUAGGAGCAGGACUUGCCCUUCUCUCUAUUGCAACUGUGAUGUGUGACAUCAUCACUUUUUACAUCCUGAGAAAGGGGACUUAUUACAAAAGCAAGAAAUACCUGUACGUGGAGAAUGUUGAUAGUGACGAGUAUAAUCCUUACAGACGCUUCCCUGAUGCUGCAACCUCUGAACCUCAAACACCUGGUACAAAGUAAUUCUUCUGAUAUCCAGCUUUGGUCACAAGAUGAGAACUAGUCUAGAAAAUUACAGAAAUCAUAAAUUUGAAAAUGAGGGACAAUCAAUAUCAACAGCCACUCCAGCAAGGUCCACUAACAUGGGUCCACUGACCGCAGGUCAA